UCAGUCCUCACUCUCCCAUA
rnacentral:misc_RNA from 1 species